AGACUCAUCCCUUCGGGUUUCCGAUUGGAUGGAUUUGGGCGCCUGCCAUCUUGUUUGGCUCGCCUUAAAAGCAUAAGUGGUUGUAUAGGACGUAAUAAGUUUCGCCCUCUGACUGCUCAUAACCCCAACCUAAGAGACAUCUCGGUGUCUCGAAGGCCAUCUUUA
rnacentral:misc_RNA from 1 species